UUCUUUCCAAGAACGCUGGUUUCCACUUUUAAGCAGAUGAUUAAUGUAAUCUUCGAGAAAAAUUAAUGUAAUCUUCAAGAAGUGUGAUCCAGCUUGCGUUUAUGCAAACCUCUUUCUUUUCUUUUAGUCGGAUGAGGUUGGUACUGCACUAUUUGCUAAGGGCUUAGUAUAUACAUAAUCUUGCCAAUUUGUUUUAUUAUAUUGUAAUUAUGUGAUGAAUUUUAAUGUUGUGUUAUCUAUAUGAUUAAGCUCCUAGCUAGCUAGCUAGAACCUUCUCUUUAUAGCAUUUCAGCUGCGGCUUCAAGGGUAAAAUUUCUGGGAAAGAUUAGUGUUUCUGGUUAUAAUGUUGAUGGAAUUCACUAGUCACAUACAAACUUAAUUAAUAAUUAUAAGCUGGUCGGUGAUUAAUUUUGUUCUUGCACAAUUGAUCUGUAAUGAUG
rnacentral:misc_RNA from 1 species